rnacentral:rRNA from 1 species
UACGUAGGGGGCAAGCGUUGUCCGGAUUUAUUGGGCGUAAAGAGCGUGUAGGCGGUUUGGUAGGUCCGCUGUGAAAACUCGAGGCUCAACCUCGAGACGCCGGUGGAAACCAUCAGACUAGAGUCCGGAAGAGGAGAGUGGAAUUCCUGGUGCAGCGGUGAAAUGCGCAGAUAUCAGGAAGAGCACCCGUGGCUAAGGCGGCUCUCUAGUACGGUACUGACGCUGAGACGCGAAAGCGUGGGGAGCGAACAGG